GAGCUAACGCGUUAAGUCGACCGCCUGGGGAGUACGGCCGCAAGGUUAAAACUCAAAUGAAUUGACGGGGGCCCGCACAAGCGGUGGAGCAUGUGGUUUAAUUCGAUGCAACGCGAAGAACCUUACCUGGUCUUGACAUCCACGGAAGUUUUCAGAGAUGAGAAUGUGCCUUCGGGAACCGUGAGACAGGUGCUGCAUGGCUGUCGUCAGCUCGUGUUGUGAAAUGUUGGGUUAAGUCCCGCAACGAGCGCAACCCUUAUCCUUUGUUGCCAGCGGUCCGGCCGGGAACUCAAAGGAGACUGCCAGUGAUAAACUGGAGGAAGGUGGGGAUGACGUCAAGUCAUCAUGGCCCUUACGACCAGGGCUACACACGUGCUACAAUGGCGCAUACAAAGAGAAGCGA
rnacentral:rRNA from 1 species